GGGCCCAUAGCUCAGCUGGUUAGAGCUGCCUUCACACGGCAGAGGUCAGAGGUCUGGAGUCCCCUUGGGCCCACCA
rnacentral:tRNA from 1 species